rnacentral:rRNA from 1 species
GUAGGGAAUCUUCCACAAUGGGCGAAAGCCUGAUGGAGCAACGCCGCGUGUGUGAUGAAGGGUUUCGGCUCGUAAAACACUGUUGUAAGAGAAGAAUGACAUUGAGAGUAACUGUUCAAUGUGUGACGGUAUCUUACCAGAAAGGAACGGCUAAAUACGUGCCUG